rnacentral:lncRNA from 1 species
CAUGAGGCACUAGAGUGGGGAAAAAUCAAGUUAGAGGGACCCAAGACCAUAUCUAUAAGGGUGAAGGCCCCUGGCAUCUUUGAUGUGGUGAUGGCAUCUUUCACCACAGAAACUGAGACCCCAUGACAGUGGCUGCAGGCCGCUCCUAAGCUAAAACAUACAUGGCCCCAUCCCUAGGUACAGUAAGCAGGUACAACUGGCCCUGCCAAACAUAUCUGAAGAGUUGUAGAAUUAGGGGCUGGAGAUGGCUCAGCAGUUAAGAGCAGUUAAGUGGUAGCCUGGCUACACUUCCAAGACCCACAUAGUGGCUCGCAUCUAACCUCAGUCCCAGGGGAUCCAGCACUCUCUUAAGGCAUCUUAGGACCCAUAUGGUACUCAGCCAUACAUGCGGGAGAAGCACCCAUACACGAGUUCAGACUGGACUGGAGAAAUGGCAGUCACGGAGCACCUAUUGCUCUUAUAGACAGUAGCUCACAACAACUGCCUGUAACUGGUGGCAGGGCUCCGACACCCUCUUCUGGCUGGUCAGACACAUAAUAUAGACUGCAGCUUUUUAAGCUGCAGGUUGAGCUAGAGAAAUGGCUUAGUUAGUUCCUAGCACCCACGUGGCAGCUAACAACCCUCUGACUCUGGAGGAUCCUAGCGCCUUCUGACCUUCAUGGGUAACAGGCACACAUGAAAGGUCAUAUGGAGGCAAACCUUCAUUAAAAANNNNNNNNN